rnacentral:rRNA from 1 species
CCCAGACAACUAGGAUGUUGGCUUAGAAGCAGCCAUCAUUUAAAGAGUGCGUAAUAGCUCACUAGUCGAGUGACACUGCGCCGAAAAUGUACCGGGGCUAAACAUAUUACCGAAGCUGUGGAUUGUCUAUUGGACAAUGGUAGGAGAGCGUUCUAAGGGCGUUGAAGCAUGAUCGCAAGGACAUGUGGAGCGCUUAGAAGUGAGAAUGCCGGUGUGAGUAGCGAAAGACGGGUGAGAAUCCCGUCCACCGAUUGA